CUACCCUCAUCUCUUGGUCUAUUCUCCCUUUUUGUCUCACCCACUAUCAUCUGCCACCAUGGUCGGCCAGCUCUUACCAACAGCCGUUGCCCCUCCUGCGGCCUUUGCCGUCCACAGCGAAGCCGAAGGUCAUGUGCACGGCCAUGGUAAAGAGCUUCGUGCUUUCUACUUGUCUUCCUUGAUCCAGCCGCAACACAGGAGGAGGACACUUUGGGAAUAAUAAAGGCACACAUCCACAAAAGGUUUAUGGACUGCUUGGGAGAAUUAUGUAACAUAUGUUCUUUAUGUUGUCCAUGUACUUAUUUUUAAGAAAAAUUUAUGUCCUUUGAGAGGAUCAUUGUGGUGCUGCUCUACCCUUUUAUCCAAUGAAAAUACUCCAAACAAUGGAUCAUACCAAAUUAUAUAUGUAGACUUUAUUUAGUGCGAUCCACUAUUUGAAGUGUUUUUAUUGGAUGGAAGGAUCUAAUACGAGGACCAUGGUGGUCGGCUGAGGCGUUUAUAAUGCACUACAGUCGAUCGAUUGAGACCCUUUUGAAAAACGAAGUAUGUCCUGAUUUUUGGCUUUGAAAAAGAUGUAUCCCUAUUUGUGUAUGUCUUUUUAGAUUAGGGGAUCUAAAGUCAAUCUAUGACCUUUGAGCAUUA